rnacentral:rRNA from 1 species
CUACGUGCCAGCAGCCGCGGUAAUACGUAGGUGGCAAGCGUUGUCCGGAUUUAUUGGGCGUAAAGCGAGCGCAGGCGGUCAAUUAAGUCUGAUGUGAAAGCCCCCGGCUCAACCGGGGAGGGUCAUUGGAAACUGGUUGACUUGAGUGCAGAAGAGGAGAGUGGAAUUCCAUGUGUAGCGGUGAAAUGCGUAGAUAUAUGGAGGAACACCAGUGGCGAAGGCGACUCUCUGGUCUGUAACUGACGCUGAGGCUCGAAAGCGUGGGUAGCAAGCAGGAUUAGAUACCCUGGUAGUCCACGCCGUAAACGAUGAGUGCUAAGUGUUGGAGGGUUUCCGCCCUUCAGUGCUGCAGUUAACGCAUUAAGCACUCCGCCUGGGGAGUACGACCGCAAGGUUGAAACUCAAAGGAAUUGACGGGGGCCCGCACAAGCGGUGGAGUAUGUGGUUUAAUUCGACGCAACGCGAAGAACCUUACCAGGUCUUGACAU